CCAUUGGUGAUUCAGUGGUAGAAUUCUUGCUUCCCAUAUGGAAGAUCCAGGUUUGAUUCCUGGCCAAAGUA
rnacentral:tRNA from 1 species